CAUCGCAAUGUGCCGUUCUGGCGCAUAGUAUGUAUGAAAAAUUUCAGUUUGGCGUGUGCGUUGUAUUUUAUUUUAGACAAGACUUGACGGCUAUUUAAAAAACUCCAUGGCUUUCUAUUGGAUACCGCUACAUCGUUGGUUCGGAUUUUCGUAAACAUCGUAUACGAAACAAGACUUAUUUACAGUCUAAUGGGAGUAAAAUAGAUGUUUAUAAGAACUUAUUAAACGAGGCUUACGUUAAAAAAUAAGUAUUUAAUUUUGUUUUUGAUCGAAGCCGUGAUACUUCAGAACCAUGGAAGAGAAGGUGGAUAGUGAUCAAAGUUUCAGUGAAGAGAGUAGCAGUAGUUCUUCAGAUAGUUCUAGCGAAAGUUCUGAGAGUGAUGAGGAGAUUAUGGAACAAGUUCGCAUAUUAGGUCAUACAUUGGAACUUCCUCAAGACCUCUGUGAAGACCCUGCCUUAUUUAAAGAAUUCUUCUCCAUGAAAACCUGGGACAGUUUGGCUGACAAACACAAAGAUCAGCUUAAAGAGUUAUUGCCAAAAUUUGAAGAAAACAAUGAAGAGGAGAAGCAAACAACCCUGAAAAUGCUUUUUAAUCAUGAACCAUUUCAUUUUACAUCUCCUUUAACUUGUUUCUUUAAGAAUUUAAGGCAAGGUAAUUAUAGGCCUGAUAUUGCAAGGAUGAGAAAGUUUCUGACAAAAGCUAGAGCAAAACAACAAAGGCAUAAGAUAAAGUCAUAUUAUGCAAAGUUGUUGCCUGAAGUACUCAUAUCCAGAGAACGAUUAUUAGCAGUGGCUAAGUCUUCACCACCAGGCGUAAUUCCACCUAUACCAUUACUUCCACCUAAGCCAUCAUCUAAAAACAGUUACAAACCAUUGUAUGUAAGAGCAAGACACAGGUACUUUGAGGAGUUAACAGCUAUAUGGAGCGAAGUUGGCUGUCAAGGGUCAGAUGAUGAAAACUAUCCAGAAGGCCCACCUGAACAUUUCUCAAAGAGGAGGAAACGAAAUAAUGCAGUCCAAACACAGAGUGGUGAUUCCAAUGUAUCUGGUACAUUGGGUAGUGGGGAACUGGUCCUUCCAUCUUUAGCAUGUUUAAAAAAUGUUUUGUCCACACAUCGAGCAAGGCGACAACAUAGGGAGACUCAUCCAGAACUCAAUACCACAGGUAUAACAUUAGAUGAUAUUAAACAAAGAGUGUCUUUAAUGAAUGGAGCAAAGAAACUAAUGUUUGGUGGUCCUAAAGCAGAAAUACCAAUUCAAAAAGUUAGAAAAGGCAUAAAAAGAGAGCAGCAUAGGGGUAAAGAUUUUAAACAACCCCAAAAAAAAACAAAAGAUGAUGAAAAUAGUGAAAAUAAACUUCUACCACAUAUAAAGAUAAAGUGUGAGCAAGAGGAGUCUGAUUCAGAAAGUUCAUUCUUUGAACAAACAAGCCCCAGGCAUAAGAAAGUUAUGGACCAUGUCGAUAUAAAGCAAGAAGUUGAUAGUGAAAAUCAAAACUCGAGAUUUGAUCUGUAUGAGAAAACUAUUAAAAAGGAACCACAAGAUUCACAAAGCAAUUCAAAGACAAAUCAGCCUGUACCAAUUAAGUUGGAAGAUUUGGAUGGCAUAGUUAAUUCUUCUAUAGACAUGAUGGCGCUCCCAGUGGAGCUUGCCGACGAGUCCAUGGAUUCUCCGAAGAGUCCAGACGAAGCCCUCACAGAGACCACGCAUGCGAACUUUCUGUCCUUGGUCCGGGCAUUGUUCCCCGCUAAGUCAGCUCAUCGGGCCUCUAAAAGGGAGCUUCAGGCACGGUGUUCGGCAGUUAUGAGGUCGCCCAUUGCUCCGCUUAAUACUUGGUAUAAUUUAUCAGAUGACUGGUGUGUAGAGUUGAAUUCAGCGCUGGAUUUCUUGGCCGGAGAGCGGGGACCACAUCCAGAUGACUUUGUGCCAUAUCUCCAGUUCAUACCAGAUACUCAAAUGUAUCAAUGGAUAGGGGCGGGUCGCGAUUGUGAUGCGAUUCUCAAUCGAUUGUGCGAGAGAUGGAUGAGAGCCGCGACGCCUACUCCUCAGCAACCAGAUGCACCGCCCCCACCCAGGUAUCCAACAAAUUGGAUAGUGCGACAGCCUACGAAUACGGAAAUAGCCGAAUUUAGAUCUCAAGAGCGACGCAGAUUUGCGUCUGCAUCUAAACCGUUUACAUAUCUACAAUAUGGAUAUAGGUCAGUAGUAGGCCCGGCGAGUGGCGUACGUGCUAGCGCGGGGGGGGCGUGUACGUCUCUAGUGACGCCUCAGCGACCUCGCGCUGCGGGAUUUUUAGCUCUUCUGAGGGACGCAUUAGCCAGACUACCUAAUGGAGAGGGUACACGCCGGGACUUACUCAUGAUGCUUAAGAUGUCCCAAUGGAUUAUUCCAUGUACCGAUCAAGCGCUAUCGUCAGCUAUUUCGACGGCAUUGGACCGACUCGUUGCAAUAAAAAGGGAUCCCAUAGUGAAAUACGACCAGAGGACCGCUAUUUGGACGUACUUGCAUAGAAAUAGAACUGAAGAAGAUUGGCUGAAAAGCAGUAAUGCUCGAAAUCGGGCGAUCAAGUCAAUUGCGGCAGAUUCCUCGCCAUCGCCAAAGACGCACCUCAAUGUCAACAAUAUGGAAGUCGAAGUAGGAAGCGGCGAUGAUAUACAUUUAGAUGGUUCAGACACUGAUGUGGAUGUAGAUGAUAGUGGUUCUUCAGCCAAUCUCUGCCAAUUAUCAUCAGCACAACUACUCAUGCAGGCCACUCAGGCCCAAACGAAACCCAAAACGCCUUCACCUAAAGCUAAACCAAGUCCUAAACCAAAAAUAAUCAAACAAAUAUCACCAAAAGCUCUUAAAAUAAAUCAGAUUAAACAAAAGAGUCUUUUAGCGCAAAAGUUGAAACAUUCAAAAGUUAUCAAGCCAAAUCCUAAAUCGCCGAAGCCUCCGAUUCAAUCACCUAAAAGUUUAACAUCCCCUAAACCUACAGCGUCCCCUAAACCGGGCGUGCCGUCCCCUAAACCGAGUGCCGCGUCCCCUAAACCUAGUGUUGCGUCCCCCAAACCUAGCGUCGCCUCUCCUAAACCUAGUGUGGCCUCCCCUAAACCGAGUGUUUCAUCUCCUAAACCAAUUUCCUCACCUAAGCCAAUACAAAAGCCGCAAAGUAAAAGCAUGUUAUCAAAUGAGUUGAAUGCAGCACGGACGCCUAUUGUCAAGCAAAAGUCUAUAUCCAAAAUAGAGACUUCACAGAUUAUGACACCCCCUACUUCUUCGACUCUGCCGUCUUCAAUUUCCGUGCCGACAUUAAUACAGACCAAUGUAACGACGUCUCUGCAGAACGCUAUUAUACAGAAUCCAAAGGCCCAAGUGACCCGUUCGUUGCUCAUUAGGCCACCGGUGGUGCACACCACGGCAACUGUGACUGCGGUCACUGUAUGUACACCUUCCACUCAGGUGGUUUCGAGUGCGCGUCGAGGCGUAGUCCGAGUAUUGAGUCCGGCCACAGCUGCGGGGAAGUCCCUCAUAUCACCACGAGCUCUUAUGCCACAACCAGCGACUACAACAGCAAAGAAGCGACCAUCGCUGCCUUCGACGGCCGUCGCAACGACCGUACAGAGUACAACAGUCACCAAUGUCGUUAGUAGUGUGACUACUCCUGUGACGUCAUCAAUUACGACUCGUACUGUCCAAUUACCAGGAGGUCGGACCGUCCAAUUGUCAAACCAAACUGUCCAAUUAGCAGGCGGACAGGCUGUCCAAUUAUCUGGCCACACCCUUCAACUGUCUUCCCUUCAAUUACCAACACAUAGCGUUCGUUUACCAAGCGGUCAAACUGUCCAAUUGGCUUCCCCACAAACAGUUCAAGCGAUACGAGCGGUUAAUCAAAAGAAUCAAAAUCCCCGCGCCCAAACGCCAACCGUCCGGCCGACAGUCCAAAUACCGGUGUCUUCGGUACAAUUGGCGGGACAAACUGUGCAAAUAGGCGGGCAGACUGUCCAAUUGGGCCAAAGCGUACAGUUAACCGGACACACGGUUAAGCUCCCGAGUGGGCAGAGCGUACAAGUCGCUAGUCAAAAUGUGCUUCCAACCCAAAGUGUCCAAUUGCCGAGCGGACAAACGGUACAGUUGGGUGGAAAUGUCCAGUCGAUGCUAAGCGGUCAAAACAUUCAAUUGUCCAAUCAAUUAUCGACACAACUCGGGGCCCAAACAGUACAGUUAGGUAAUCAAAUACAGUUGAGCGGCCAGACAGUUCAGUUGCCGAGCGGUCAAACGUUGCAACUGAGUGGCCAAACGGUCCAACUGUCCAGUGGCCAAACGUUACAGCUGGCCAGCGGGCAAACGCUACAGUUGAAUCAAACGCCCAAAUCCAUAGCUCAAGUGAGGACUCAAGCUACGGGUGACAAACCGUCACAGCCGAUAGUUGCUAAACUAUUAACCAAUGCACAGGGCCAAAUGAUAUCCUUAGAGGGAGUAAUGAAUCGGAAUAUGAGCGGGGUGGUGGGAGUGGGAAGUGGGCGCGGUCGGGGCGUGAGAGUAUUAUCUCCUACCACACGUCUCACAAGACCAGUUUUGUUGACCUCCGGGAAGCCAUUGCAUAAUAUUAUAUUACAGAGUGACGGCAACGCAAUACGGGUGCCUGUCAGUAGCGGUGCGGCAACGUCGCAGACAAUUGUUAUUAGUAAUAUAGGUGCUCAAUCAGCAAAUACAACAACGACUACGGCUCCGGUUCUGAAAUUGCAGCAGGUGAAUCCAAUACAACAAGUUAAACUAGCGCAAGGAAUAAAAAUUCAACAGGGCGCUGUAGCAAACGCAUCAGUGGCGACAUCCAGCGGCAUUCGAAGUGUACUAAUGGAUGGACAGCAUUUGAAACUCGUUGGCGGGAGACAUGUUUUGGCGAGACUUUUGAGACCUGCGAACCCGCAGCCGUGAUAGUGCUUUAGUUUUUGGAGGUUUUCGAAAAAUAUUGAUAAGAUAAAAAUCCAAUUGGAGAAUGAAAAACAAAAGCCAUCGUUCUCAUAAACAAAAGACAAUCGCGGUCUAAAUAAAUAUGGAAAAAACAAAUCACGUGGUUAGACGUAGGGGUUUGCAUUAUGCCUGGUCCGUUAUGACGUCAUUAAGAAAAUACAUUAUGUUUAUUUGGAUUUGUAGUUUAGUUGUUGAAGUAGUGGUUUACAUAAGGAUUGUAAGAACAAUUUCUGAUGUUCAAUUGUGCAUAACAGUUACUAUGGAGUCGUUUCUUCAUGUCUUUUAGUUGGAGCAGUGAUUUAAUAUAAUUUAAAAAAAAAACUUUUUUAUAUGCGCGUAAUUAUAGUUGAAUUAAAUUAGACUGAAUCUUAUGCGUAAAAAGGUUUUUUUAGAUUUUAUUAUAUUCACUGAUCCUAAUAAAACGUCCAAUAGUAAUAAACGGAAGACAAAUGAAGAAUAAAAUGCCGAAUUACGGAUGACGUCUUGUAUUUUCAGACUGAUAUUCUUAUUCUUAUGCACAAAGCUAAAUGGAAAUGUUUUGUCUCUUUCAUAGUCAAUAAGCCACAAGAGUGACAAGGACAAAACUAUAGCUAUUGGACUAUAUCAACCUCCUGAUUGUAUAUACCUUGGUACUCUGUAACAGCCGAUCUGUUGGGUCUUGAAUCGGAGCUUACGUCCGGGUCGUGAUAGCUAUCGUUGUUGGAAGGGCCGUGCUGCAAUUGAAAUUGAAUACACCUUCAGUCUUAUAGGCGAUAAUUAUUACAUUUAGUUCUGUUAAAUCAAUUUUUAUACGUAAGUAAUAAUAAAAUGUAUCUCUUGAAAUGUAUUACUCAUAUACAAUAGGCGUAUUCUACGUUUCUCAACUUUUUCGGUUUUGUGUAUUUAUACGGGCCUUAGAUACCUUUGUAUGAAGUUCUAGAUGCUAAAUUGGUGUUUUACGCACACGUGGCCGUACGUACGUGCAACGUACAUAGUGGGCUAGAUGAAUGUUAAUAUUAUUUUAGGAGUCAACCAAUGCUGUGCUUAUUUUUCCUGCAAAAGGAAUGUUUAUGACUUUGACAUAUGACUUUUAGUAGAUCCUAUUUUUAUUGUAAUUGUAGUGGCGCUGUUCCAGCUAUAAUUUAAACAUUAUUUACAGGUCUAUUUUUGAUUUGACGCCAAAUUAAUAGUUGGUCAUUAUUUUGAAGAUGCGAAACGGAACGUGUUUUAAGGAAUAAUUUAUUUUCACCCGCUUUUUACGCUUACAAUUUAAUAUUGUAUAAU